rnacentral:lncRNA from 1 species
CACUCCGGUCACUCGGCAGUACAUACCAGGUGUCACACCACUGCCCGGCAGGUGACGAAGUUGAAUUGGUCCUCAGGAGCAGAUGUUCAAGGAACCCUGCCUAUGCUCCAUGCCAGCUGCCAGUCCUUAGGUUGGGAGAUUCCACUGGAGACAUCCAUGGGAGAGCUAUGGCCAUUAACAAGUCCUGAGACCUGACCUGAAGCCAUCAGUGGCCCAGAUGGAGGAACUAUGCUAGAAGGUGUGGCAAGGCCACUGACUGUGAGGGACACUGCUGCUCUACCUGACUUUGUUGCCUCUUCCUGGAUCUCUCGCUUAUGACAACCGACGACAAAGAUGUUUGACUCCAGAAGAUGCUCCCCGCGGCCCACCUGAGAGGACUCUCCAUACCCCACCCCACUGCCAUCUACCUCUGAGUCCCCAACUCAUAGCCCCUGCUUCUCAUCCAUGUUUCAACUCCCACCCCAGAGCCUUGUAUUCCAGAUCUGAGCAGCCCUUGCUUAGGAACCUGAGGUGGGGGUGGGUAGGCAGACCCAGGGGACUGAGCAGGGAGGGGAAGGAGGGGUUUCUGCUCUUGGCUUUCAAAGUUCUCAGUGUGUGUAGCCCUUUGAAUAAUAAACAUAUAUCAUAUAAUGUAAA